AGUCUCAGCAAGGAUGCAAAUCUGAAAGGGGCCCCGCUCUUCCCCACAACCCGUCUGUGUCUGGAAUCCAGGCUCCGCCCACCCACAGCACCCACUUGCUCAGAGCAGUUCUACAAAGUGACCCCCUGGGAUUCAUUUCCCAGCUGUGUUAGGCUACCCAGAGCUGUCGGCUGUGGGUACCAAAGAGGCUCCUAGUUCAGGAGGCGGAACUGGUAAAUUUGCCCCAGAGGGAGAAGUAAAUCUACCUGUGAGGGGGCUGAACCUUUUGUACUGAACGGGGAACACCCGGCGAUACAGCUUCUUUGCUGAGGGACAAUGAGGAGACCCUGGCAGCUGUUUCCACGCCUGCUGCUACUGCUGGUGAACAUUCCCUGGGGGAGCUGCCAGGCCGAGGUGCACCAGAAUCUGUCUGCGGUCACUCGGGAAGGGCAGAACGGCAGCAUCUCUUGCCACUACAAGACGAGUAAUUUCGGGAGCUUGCAGUGGUUCAGGCAGCUACCAGGAGGCCAGCCUGUCUCUCUGCUGGUUCUGGUGUCCAAUGGGAAACAAACCAAGGAGCCCAACCUCACCGCGGAGCUCGACAAGGGGAAGAAGCUGAGUUCCCUGCACAUCAGAGAAUCACAGCUGGGAGAUGCAGCCACCUACUUCUGUGCCUUGGGGACACAGUGA